rnacentral:rRNA from 1 species
AACGAACGCUGGCGGCAUGCCUAACACAUGCAAGUCGAACGAAACCUUCCUGUCUAUGUGCGCACGUCUGCUUGACGCGUGGUAACCUGCCCUUAGGUUCGGUAUAACUCCCCUAAAGUGGUUCUAAUACCGUAUAAUUUCUUCGGACCAAAGAUUUAUCGCCUUUGGAUGGGCCCGCGUUGUAUUAGCUAGUGGGUAGGGUAAAAGCAUACCAAGGCGAGGAUGCGGAGCUGUUAGGAGAGGAUGAUCAGCCACAAUGGGAAUGAGACACGGACCAUACUCCUACGGGACGGAGGAGUAGGGAAUAUUGUACAAUGAGCGCAAGCGUGACAAAGCAAUGCGGGGUGAGAGAUGAAGGCCUUAGGGUUGUAAAGCUGUCUUACACGGGAUGAUAAUGACAGUAACGGGAGAAUAAGCUCCGGCUAACUACGUG